rnacentral:rRNA from 1 species
GAUGAACGCUGGCGGCGUGCCUAAUACAUGCAAGUCGAGCGAGCAGACGAGGAGCUUGCUCCUCUGACGUUAGCGGCGGACGGGUGAGUAACACGUGGAUAACCUACCUAUAAGACUGGGAUAACUUCGGGAAACCGGAGCUAAUACCGGAUAAUAUAUUGAACCGCAUGGUUCAAUAGUGAAAGACGGUUUUGCUGUCACUUAUAGAUGGAUCCGCGCCGCAUUAGCUAGUUGGUAAGGUAACGGCUUACCAAGGCAACGAUGCGUAGCCGACCUGAGAGGGUGAUCGGCCACACUGGAACUGAGACACGGUCCAGACUCCUACGGGAGGCAGCAGUAGGGAAUCUUCCGCAAAGGGCGAAAGCCUGACGGAGCAACGCCGCGUGAGUGAUGAAGGUCUUCGGACCGUAAAACUCUGUUAUUAGGGAAGAACAAAUGUGUAAGUAACUAUGCACGUCUUGACGGUACCUAAUCAGAAAGCCACGGCUAACUACGUG